ACCCUGGCAUGGGAGGAGGUGAUGCUGUAACGAGGACCUGUGAUGUACGGUGCUGAUACAGUGUUGUUUCCAAACGGGGAGGGGGAGGGGAAGGAGGCUGGGAGAAUGAGAACCUGUGUGUGCAGGGCAGUAACGUGGGUGCAGGAAACAAAACAGUUCUAAUAAACUUCUGGACUUGGGCAAAGAGACCUCCAAGUGUCGAAAGCAUGAGCUGGCUGCCUUUUGCUGAGUAUUCUAAGCGGAUCGUAAGGGAACUGGGCUCAAAAAGACCUUCAGAGGGAACACAAUUUAAUUAAAUUUAACCUAUUCCAGAGCUUGCUAGGGUAGUAAGAUAAAAAGAAAAAUCUGUUUCUCAUCUCCAGCUUCUCCAGCUAGCGGAGUCCUAAGUUAAGUUACAGCCUGAGAGCAAAGACUAAAUCCAGAGCACAGCCAGUGAGCCCUGGCCUGAGGGUAAAGAGCAAAUCAAGGGUAAGGCAUACUGCAGUGCCUCAGACCAUCCUGGCUGGAAGAAGGGGCAUUAUAGAGGCUUAAGGGUAUUGGUCCACAGCAGCUGGACAUACCCCCAAUUCCAGUAAUUAGGUUGCAAGAGAGAGGCGUGUCUCAAAAAGAAUUGUGGGUGUGGCUUUUUGGCACAUAAAUCAAAUGCACAGAAAAUUCACAUCGUUUUUGGAGAGAGUUGUAUUGACAGAAGCUCUGCCAGCCUGGAUGAAAAGACACCAAGACAGUUUGAAAUGUAAAGACUUCUGUGCCCCCAUUUGCUAUAGGUACAUUUUCCAGUGCUCUCUUCAAGGGAAGGUGACAGAAGACGAAGGACGUCUCCGUGGCCUGGGGAGCCCCCCCCCAGCGGGCAGAGCCCGGGCUUCAUGCAGGAGCACGUCCCACCUCAGGGCAGGGGAACCUGGCAGCGUUUUCCAGGGAGCACUCAGCACAGCUAGGAGUCGGCAGCUGCUUUCUACCUCCCUGCCGCCUCUUUUUAGAGAACCUUUUUGUCACCCGUGUCUGCUGAGUGCGAGCGAGGCAGACGAUGGUGUUUAUGCCCUAGGCCUCGGGAUCAAAAAAGGCCAUAUAGACUUGACUGGCUCUUAAGAUCCUAGACUUCAAGCCCGAUGCCAUGACUGGGUGAGCCUUUGGGGCGGGCGGUUUCUGGACGGCACUGAGCGUGUUCCUGCACGGGGGAGGGACAUGAAUAAUUCCUGUGGCCACCAGGGCAAGCUGGGGAGAACACGCUGGUGCGCCCUUUGCUCCCUGCCACGUGAGUGGAGACGCCAUGGAUUCUCCCAUCUCUGGGCUUUGGCUUCCGCGGCGUGACCCUCCUUGGCUAAUGGGACGUUACCGGGCAGGAGGGGACCAGAGGUUUGCAAAGUCCUUGUGCAGUUGGAUCUGCCUUCCUGCACCUCUGCCGCCACCAUGAUAACAACACUCCUGGGCUCAUCCGUCAGUGUCAGGAGCGAGAGGAGCAGCGUGUGCAGCGGAGCUGACCUGCUCCAGCCCAGCCCAGUCUCGACCGGCCAGCCGGAUAAGCCCAUCGGCCCAGCGGGCACUGGGCCCUUGAGGUGUAGACAAGGUGGCCCGACAACAACCCGUCUUCCUGGAUUCUGAGCUCGAGCGAAGAUGCUGGAGUUGGAAUGAGGCUGGAGCGGAUGCGCUGAAGGCACCUCCAGGAGGAAAUCCAGGCUCGGGCGGCCUGGGAUCCUGCCCUCCCCAGGCCUGGCUUUUGACCACUUCCCUUCGUCCUAUGAGUAUCUUUUGCGUUAUCACAGUUUUCCAUUCAGUCAGUCAGAGUUUGUCUCUCUUGUUUGCGACCUAAGAACUGCGUCAUUUGGCUACAAAGGAGGACACUGGGGAGAGGACGCCUGUCCACGGUCAGACAGCGCGGGGCUCUUCCCUCUGCCACAUCCGCUGGGAAACCUCUGCGGCUGAAAAGCCACUGGCUCCUUACUCGGCCGAGCCCGCGGCUCAUCUCUGCAGACGGGAAGGGAGCUCAGGU